UCGUCCCCCUUUUCCCUUUUUCCUCCCUCGUCCCCCUUUUCCUUUUUUUGCCCCUCGUUCCUCUUUUCCUUUUGUCCUUCUCAUGCACUUCCUGCUAUCCUGCCUUUUCCCCGCUUUCCCUCAUCUCUUCUUGCACUCUUUGCCCCCUUUUUCUCCCCCCAUCCUUAUUUCUCUUCACAUUCCCCUAUUCUUUUUUCCCCUUUCCUCUUCUUCAUCCCCAGCUCCGCUUCUCCCCCACCUCAUGUCCCCUUUCUUCUGUCCCUGUACCCCAUUUUUCCCUUUUUUUCCCCACCCCUUUUUUCUCUCUUUUUUCUCUGUUGUUCCCUGUUCCCUUUUUGCUCUUUGCUCUCUCUCUCCUUUCUUCCCCCUCAUCCUGUUACAGAAGAGAGUGAAGGAAUGAUGGACAAGGUGGUGCAGGAUGACAGCAGCAGGGUGGAAGCACAGGUGGGUGCGAUGAAGCCGGGGGUGGGACUGGGUGGAGCCAGAGCCCAGCCUGAGCUCAUGGAAGGGCUGGGAAUCGCAGGGCUCAGAUGUGUGCCUGGGCUUCUGGUGUCAGUGAGGUUGGGUGAGCAGUGAGGUUUGGGAGGGACCGACUUGUUGGCCUUGAGAUUGAUGCCCAGCUCCUUGCUCGUCGCAUUCUGCUCGGCUCGAGGUUCCGGACACAGCUUGCUCUUCUAAGCAGUGUGAGGACUGCGAGAAAGACUUUGUUGGAUGCAGCAGGAAAGCACAGCCGCUGCUGGAUGCCAGGGUCUGCUCCUGAGGCUCUGCGCCAAGGUACGUGGAUCCCUGCCGUCUCCUGUUUCACACGCUCGCUGAGGUCCUCGGGCUUGGUGUCGCUUGUCCCUUGUGCUCACGUUGCUUUCACCGGGUGUUCUUCCUCUCCCCUUGCUCAGUUCUGCCCAGUGCUGAUGGGAUGUCAGUGCCACCUGCUGCUCUCAAUAAAAGGUAGGUUGAAUUCAUUUUGGUUUCUGUAGUAUUUGCUACACUUGUGUUCUGUUUCUCUUCUCUUUUUUCCAUGUUGCCUGGCGGUGCCUCGCUGGAGUUCCCAUGACCCCCAGGCACACUUGUGACCAAGUGAGGUGCCAAAAACAGAGGUAUCUCCUAAACAGGCUUCUGCUGAGUGCUGUCCUCGUCUUGGGGCUUGUGCAAUGCCCACCUUUCUUUUCUAACCCGCUUUGUUGAGGACGGCGUGUGAGGCUUUCUUCUUUCUUUGUAGGAUUUGUGACUCCACCACCAGAAGUAGCAGGCAUUUUGGGACGUCCAAGGUUCCGCAGUGAGCGUGUCCUGUUCCUGGUAAAGGUGUGGGUGUUCCUGGACACAAAGGUAUCUAUCUUCAUGCCUUGCCCAUGUACCGAGUCCCCCACCAGAUGCUGUUUGCCUUUUGGCCCCCCUGA